UCGGAGUUGGGAAUGAGAUCACACCCGAGUUGACAGCGUUCCACUAAACAAGUCAAAAAACCAAGAUGUACAACCACUGUUGUAACAGUAGCCAUUGUUAGCUCCACUAGUUGAAAACAAUGCAUAACAUGAUAUUUUACAAAUACAAACACCAUAGUAACAUGUCCACAGUUAUGCUGCGUUCGAGUUACCUCAAAAGCAAGAUGUCCAAGCUGGGAAUGACGUCACACCCGAGUUACCAGCGUUUUAGUUACCAAGUCGGGAGAAAGCAAAAUCGGAGGUGGAAACUAGAUGGCUACAUCUACGAGUUAUUUUAGCACUUGCCUUGUCCUUGCUUAUACUCGGACAAGGCAAGCGCUAAAAUAACUUUCGUAGAUGUAGCCAUCUUGUUUCCGCCUCCGACUCGACAGCUCGGACUCCGACUUCCGAGGUAACUCAAGCUCAGCAUUGGACAUUGGACAGUACUACAUUAUAAUACGCCACUUACCUAAUCUCUCAAAAACAGAACUGCUAAUAAAUAAUACAUUACAAGAGUUGUCACUGUUUACUGUUGACCCACAGCACUGCCAUCUUGAAGUAUGACGUUGUGGUCAAGUCGUGGUUGGUGAUGAUCGGCUGACUUUCCGAGUCUGAAAUCCAACUUCAGGGGCAGAAUUCCAUAUGAAUUUCCGACUCGGGACUCAGAAAAUCGAACUUCCCAGUACAACUGAAACACAGCAUUAGCCUCACUGCACCCAAAGGUGAUGCUGUACAGGUUGCAGGUUAUGGUUAAAUGAAAAGAGGAGUUUUUAAAGAUUUAUGAGAGGCUUUCUGUUUGAAAAUAUGCUGGGAAGAUUAAAUUCACUCUGACUGUUUAACCGUAAAUACACAACAUGAGUUCCUAACUGUAUUGUCCUAGCAUUGAACAAAAACUAGUUUAAGAGCGAUCCAGCUAGCCUGGCACACUCCAGAAAUAACACAGUUAUCGUUCAUUAUCAUUUGAUCUAAUAUCGAAUUAAUGUAUGUUUAAAAAGGUAUCAUAGUUGAACUAAAAGCAUCAUCCUGACCACAAAGACAUAUCGCCAAGUAACACAGCAGACUAUAUGGUCCAAAUGCAUGAAACACAGGUAUUUAAUGCAUGCGGUUUGCCCAGUCAGUGGUAAAACUAAGUGUUAAGAAGGACUGUCGUCUCACUGUUGCAUCGAUUGUAUCCCAAUCUAAUUCUGUCCUGUCUCCGAUGUCCCAGAGAGAGGUGGCUCACCACAGUUCAGAUCCAUCACCGGCUAAUGCAUUGUUGGACGAGAUACAAUUGUUUAUUGUUUUCUAGCUUUAACCUGCUUCCCUAUGAUGUUCAUUGAUCUCUAAAGUGAUCCGUGGUCCCUGGCUCCACAUCAUUUGUUCUUCCGUUGAAAUGAUUGGUUUGAUCUCAAGGCCGGGCUUCAGCUGUAAUUACUGAGAUGGGAUUUCAACUGUCAGCAUGACGAAUGGCCGUUUGACUUUAUUUGUCUUGGCCUGCUAUUGGCUGGCAGUGCAGGCCGUCACUGAGGUAUUCUAUUUCCUUUACUCAGCACAGAAACAUAUUGAAUACCUCUUCCAUCACUUCAACAGAAAACCUUUGGAUAAAAACACAGAUUAUUUUCCCAGCACAAAAUCCCCUCGGUGAGCAGAACGGCUUGACAAGUCAACUUUGUGUUUUUCCAAGAGGACCUUUUGUCUUGUUUUGUUUUCCUGCUGUCACAAACUUUGUUUCACUAACUUUUCCUCUCUGUUCUUGCACACUCAUCGCCUGAGACCAAUGUAUUUUUUUUCAUUUUGUUACAAAUCAUUAAGCUGGUUUGCAGCGGGGGGACUCGCAAGGGGCAAGAUGCUUGCAGGUGCAGAUCUCUGGAGGUGUUUUUCGUGCAUCGAUGAAUACAGCUCCUGGCCCUGGCUGACCUUAAAGCCCUUAUCCCUGAGAAAGAAUCAAUUGUGCAACCAGAGUGCCGGCGCCGGCUGCUGGAGCACAACAACAAAAGCUAUGAGGGUUUUUUUUUCACAUUACUGAAUGAGCUGCAAUUUUUCUAUAUUUGGUAAAUAUUUGUCUAAAUGGACGAGGCUGCAGUUUGCCAAAUGAAUGAGCUAUUUCUGUCAAGGCCGCUGAUAGAAAUGUUUUCUUUAACAGCCUGCACACAAUGCCCCUGAAUGCCCCUUUCACAGCGACCUGUCCAUUAGCUGUUAAACAAGCUGUGGAACAUUUUGUCUUUCUGGAUGUAGCGACACCUCCGAAUAAAUUUUCUCCACAACAAAUCAGGAAAAAUGCAGUCAAAGCAAUUCGUUUAGCAGCAAGCAAAAGCUGCGCAGUCUGAGGUUGUCAAGCAUAAUAGAACUUUUUUCUCCUCCUCAGAGCAUUUCUUUUUUUUUUUUUUCUUUCGCGGCAGUGCUCUUUCCAGAUCAAUUAUUCCCACUAAAAUAAGUAAGAGGAGGCCAUGAAAUAUUAAUGCAGAGGCUGAGCAGGGGUUGAAAGCUUCCCUGACGCGGGGGUGUUGUAUCUGUUUUAUUUUUCAUGACGAUGGAGGGACCGUGGCGAGAAGGAGGCGCUGCAGUCGCUUGGGGCCGUUUCCGUGGUAGCUAAUUUAGUCGGCGGCCAAAAACCCACCAGAUGAAGCCCAAGUUGAAAGAAGGCGAAAGCUCAGAGCUUGGACCUCCCACCCUCCCUCUUCCGCCUCGUCUUCCUCCCAGUCCACAUCAGAAACCGUCUGUUAUCUAUUAUCCACACAACUACGGUUCAUUAUUUAGCGCCGCUGCUUAAACUGCUCACUCAAAUUAGCUCCUCAGACGGGCAGGAUGAGACGUGAGACAGUCGGUGUGUUUACUCCAUGUGCCUCACAGCAUUGUUGGCGUUUUCCUCGCCUUUCAUCUUCCUCCGUUAGCUUGGCGCCACGGGGGCAGGAGCACAGGAGAUGACUAAAUGGGAGAUUUGUUUGCCUGAUUGUAACGCAGCUUAAACUUUCAAAGCCGUUGAAAUACUAAAUUUGACAAAUAUAUUACCGUUAUGUUAUAUUUUCACGUCUCCUUGUUAAAUGAAUGUGGGAUUAUGUUAUCAGAACUACAGUCUUCUACCAAGCCCGACACUGUUGCACUAAGUUUAGCACGUUUAUUACCUUGUUUAAAAUGUUCCAUGAAAAAGUAAUGAGCAGCAGCCUAUUCUCAGAACUCUGUUUUUACAGCUGCCAUGUUUUAUGUAUUAAACAUGUUUUUUUUUUCAUUGUCCCCACCCCCCUCUGUGCUGUAGAAAGACUGUAUCAGCUCUCAAAUAAGCACAGCACCUACAGUACAGUGUGUGAAACAGGACAGCAGUGAUGAGGCACAUCUCACUGCUGGAGCUUUGAAGCUUUUUUGUUCCCACUGUAUGCAAACCGAGCCUCCACCUGCUCAUCAAACUGCUCAUUUGUCGCUCUGAAAACUGAUGUGCAGAGGAUGGGAUUGUUAUUCAUCAAACCUACAGAGCGUCUUUUCAAACAGUAAGGUUCACCGACUCUGGAAAUGCUUUGUUGAACUUUAUCAGGGAUGUAAAUUCAGCUCUUUGUUUUUAUUAGAAAGUACAAGAGUAUGUCUGAGGAGACUUUGCUUGAAUCAGAAGUUAAAGGUGAGACAAGGUUACAGGAAACUGAUUUGGAUCUCAUUUUUCUCUAGCUUUCAGAUAUUAUUUGAAAUGAAGAUGAAAUAAAAGGGUUGGCCCGACCAAAUCACAAAAGGAGUAUUUCACUUUCUGUCUCAUCUUUGGUGGUAUUUAGAUGUAGAGAUAGUUUAGGGGAUUUUACUCAGGUUUUUGUGAAACUCUACUCCUUUAGUUUAUGUCCCAUCUGGAUGAAAUGAGGAUGGAUGUGAAAAGACACGUUAAAAAGAAAUCUCAAUUUCUGUUUUGUGCUCAUUUGCCAGUUUGUAUAAUGCGGAUGUAUCUUUGUAAUUACAAAGAGAACAUCAACCAAACAAAUCAAGGAUGCGCAAUAUUUUCAUUAUUACAUACCAGCCAUCGUUUCACGCUGAAAGUAAGACAACGCAGCCGCAAUAAAAUCUCUAGAGUAAAUUAGAGCUACAAGUAUCCGAAGAAGAAAAAUCAGCUUCAAGUUUUAUAGUCAUCGUUGCAAAAGCAUGUUGAUUAAAUCUGAAGUAGCAGUUAGCAUGGGCAUCAAAACAUCAUUAGGUGCUAAAGUGCCGAUUAAACAGACAUCUUAGAGCUUCAGACAAUCCCUCAGAGACGCUAAAUUACUCUAAGUGUUGUUGUAAUCAAAACUGAUCCUGGUCAAGUGGUCUCAAGGCCAGUAUUGAGGUCACUUUUUAAGACAUCCUCUCAGAAUUAGAGGCUUUUUAUCUUGGUCUCUGUUCAGUCCCAGAUUUUCAUUUAAGAUUUUAAAUGAAGGCCAGAGAUGGGUUAUGUACUCACAUUAUGACUGUGAUUUGAAUGAAAAUUGACAUGCUUUAAAAGGUGUAAAGAUGGCAGCCAACGCACCAGUUUCUGGAGUUUCUUCAAUCAAGAUUAAAACCAAAUUUCUAGAGACUUAGAUGCUUCCUGUGAUUGCUCCUGUUUUUUACACAUUUAAAGUAAUUCAUGGGCCUAAUUUUAUACUUUUUAGUAAUUUAUUCAUUUUAAAAAAUAAGAUGUUUAUACUGGCUUGUUAAUGAGUGUGGCUUUAAGUAGGUAUAAUGACAUAAUUUUGGUUGGAAAAACUCAUUAAGAUUUGUGAUUUUUCUGAAAUGUGGUGCUCUGAAGAUGAAAGUGCAGAGGAAUGAGUUGUUACUGUAAAAUUUAGUUAAAGCAGAUUUGAAUUGAAAAUGAGAAUUCAUUUAUUUGGUGUUAGUCUUGUUUUGAUGUCACUUCAUCUUGGUCUCAGUCCCUAAACACACAUUGUUUAUUAUAAAAAGACAUUACCUCUUACCUGCAUGUUUAAGCUUAGUUAGCCUGUAAACUGUUCAUUAAGUAUGUGUGCAGAAUACCUUCAGUGCUCCCAUCCAUUCAUAAAACACACAUGCUCAGUGUUAUGUGCUCUAAGGAUGAGCUUGAUUUGCAGUUUAUUCAUUUUGAAUUUCAUGUGCUCUCACUCUGUCCACUGAUCCAACAAUAUGAUCUGAUUAGCCGUGACACAUUAAUGCAUUUUGAUUUUCUUGCUCUGAGCGAUGCCAGGCCCAAUCCUUCACGCUAAU
rnacentral:lncRNA from 1 species